AACGCGGCCAACACGAGCCAACUUGAAGAGCUGAAGAGUUUGACAGCUCCUUCCCCAGAACCAGCCAUCAUAACCCGGCUCCUUCAGUCUGUAAAUCACAGCGCACGGCACAAAAUAAACCGGGGAUCCCCUUGUGAUCACAGUCAGUCUGAGGAAUUCACAUGUGAAGACUUUUACACCAAACUGAAAAACGUUUUGUGAUGGGAUCAUUAUAGAGGCUGAAGUUUCGAAGAUGAGUCGAUGUUGUGGAAGGAAGAAAUUUUGAGGAACUUGCCAGUGGGACUCCAUCCUGAAAUGCAUAUUUGGGUUCAUGGAGGAUCUUCAGACCACAUAUACUCUGAACAUUAUUCAUGGGCUUCUUUUAACAGCCUUGUUUUCUACCCUGCCCUUGUUUUUCAUGAGGUUUCUUUCACCCAUUAUUCCCCUCUGAAAUCUCCUGAACUGUACCAAACGCGUCGGAAAAGUCUGAGCUGCACUUUUUUAGUCACAAAGCUUUCAUAAAGUAACACUGGAAAGGGGAGAAAAAAUAUCGAAUGCAUUUUUUUUUCAUCAUGAAUGGGGACAUGAAUGCAACGAUCUGCAUGUUGUCAUUGUGUUACUUCAAAAAAAAGCCCACCAUCUUCGAGAAGACAAGUCUUUCUGGGUCUUCAAAUUUGACCCAAUGGAAGCAGGUUUUGUUGUGAUUGUAUUGUCAUGUAUGAAUCAGCGUUAUUGGUUUUUCCACCUUGCUUCAUUGUGGUUUUUGUAUUUCUUUUAAGCUUUGUAGCUGCUGAAAAUCAAUUGCCUUCCAACAAAACAGAAACUUAAUUGUUAAUGCAACCAGGUUUAAAUGAAAUGAUCAUUGUGGAACUUAAAGCGAU